UGGUCGAACGAGAUGGGAUGGUCAUUACGGAAACUAUCAGGGUAGGCAGUAACAAUGGGCGCAUGUCCAAGCCGUGCGCCGUUCCAAACGUAUAAGAAGACUGGCAACUCCACACAAAGGAGAAAACAGUUUCACCCACAGCGAUUGUAAGAAGUCACUGCCGACAGUGUCAUGAAGAUUUUCUUAGUGAUAACCUUGUUCCUGGCUGGUCUACUUCUUGCCCACGCACAAAGUAGACCACGCAGCCGAUACGACCGCGGAGGAGGCUAUUUAUUCCCACGAAGAGAUGUAGUCUCUGCUGCUGCAAGCUUUGGAUUUCCCGGACGCAGCGGAUACAACCGUUGACUGCGCAAUCGGCUACAUAGAAGCAUGCAGCGUCACCCUGCUUGGUAACUUCAGGAUGCACCUCAGCGUAUCGAAAAGAAUCAAUAAACGAUGAUACAGGUAGA
rnacentral:lncRNA from 1 species